rnacentral:rRNA from 1 species
AACGCGAAGAACCUUACCAACCUUUGACAUGCCAGGACGACUUCCAGAGAUGGAUUUCUCCCCGCAAGGGGCCUGGGCACAGGUGCUGCAUGGCUGUCGUCAGCUCGUGUCGUGAGAUGUUGGGUUAAGUCCCGCAACGAGCGCAACCCUCAUCUUCAGUUGCCAUCAGGUAAGGCUGGGCACUCUGAAGAAACUGCCGGUGACAAGCCGGAGGAAGGUGGGGAUGACGUCAAGUCCUCAUGGCCCUUACAGGUUGGGCUACACACGUGCUACAAUGGCGGUGACAAUGGGUUGCAAGCCCGCGAGGGUGAGCUAAUCUCAAAAAGCCGUCUCAGUUCGGAUUGUACUCUGCAACUCGAGUGCAUGAAGUCGGAAUCGCUAGUAAUCGUGGAUCAGCAUGCCACGGUGAAUACGUUCCCGGGCCUUGUACACACCGUAGAGAC